rnacentral:rRNA from 1 species
CCUACGGGAGGCAGCAGUGGGGAAUAUUGGGCAAUGGGCGCAAGCCUGACCCAGCAACGCCGCGUGAAGGAAGACGGCUUUCUGGUUGUAAACCUCUUUUAAUAGGGAAGAGCAGUAGACUGUACCUCUUGAAUAAUCCACGGCUAACUACGUGCCAGCAGCCGCGGGAAUACGUAGGUGGCAAGUGUUGUCCGGAUUUACUGGGUGUAAAGGGCGUGCAGCCGGGAAGACAAGUCAGAUGUGAAAUCCCGCGGCUCAACCGCGGAACUGCAUUUGAAACUGUUUUUCUUGAGUACCGGAAAGGUAAUCGGAAUUCCUUGUGUAGCGGUGAAAUGCGUAGAUAUAAGGAAGAACACCAGUGGCGAAGGCGGAUGACUGGACGGCAACUGACGGUGAGGCGCGAAAGCGUGGGGAGCAAACAGGAUUAGAUACCCUGGUAGUC